rnacentral:rRNA from 1 species
UACGAAGGGGGCUAGCGUUGCUCGGAAUCACUGGGCGUAAAGGGUGCGUAGGCGGGUCUUUAAGUCAGGGGUGAAAUCCUGGAGCUCAACUCCAGAACUGCCUUUGAUACUGAGGAUCUUGAGUUCGGGAGAGGUGAGUGGAACUGCGAGUGUAGAGGUGAAAUUCGUAGAUAUUCGCAAGAACACCAGUGGCGAAGGCGGCUCACUGGCCCGAUACUGACGCUGAGACGCGAAGGCGUGGGGAGCGAACGGG